rnacentral:rRNA from 1 species
GGUUAAGCGACUAAGCGUACACGGUGGAUGCCUAGGCAGUCAGAGGCGAUGAAGGGCGUGCUAAUCUGCGAAAAGCGUCGGUAAGGUGAUAUGAACCGUUACAACCGACGAUACCCGAAUGGGGAAACCCAGUGCAAUUCGUUGCACUAUUGCAUGGUGAAUACAUAGCCAUGCAAGGCGAACCGGGGGAACUGAAACAUCUAAGUACCCCGAGGAAAAGAAAUCAACCGAGAUUCCCCCAGUAGCGGCGAGCGAACGGGGAGGAGCCCAGAACCUGAAUCAGCGUAUGUGUUAGUGGAAGCGUCUGGAAAGUCGCACGGUACAGGGUGAUAGUCCCGUACACAAAAAUGCAUAUGUUGUGAGUUCGAUGAGUAGGGCGGGACACGUGACAUCCUGUCUGAAUAUGGGGGGACCAUCCUCCAAGGCUAAAUACUCCUGACUGACCGAUAGUGAACCAGUACCGUGAGGGAAAGGCGAAAAGAACCCCGGCGAGGGGAGUGAAAUAGAACCUGAAACCGUGUACGUACAAGCAGUGGGAGCACCUUCGUGGUGUGACUGCGUACCUUUUGUAUAAUGGGUCAGCGACUUAUAUUUUGUAGCAAGGUUAACCGAAUAGGGGAGCCGUAGGGAAACCGAGUCUUAACUGGGCGAAUAGUUGCAAGGUAUAGACCCGAAACCCGGUGAUCUAGCCAUGGGCAGGUUGAAGGUUGGGUAACACUAACUGGAGGACCGAACCGACUAAUGUUGAAAAAUUAGCGGAUGACUUGUGGCUGGGGGUGAAAGGCCAAUCAAACCGGGAGAUAGCUGGUUCUCCCCGAAAGCUAUUUAGGUAGCGCCUCGUGAACUCAUCUUCGGGGGUAGAGCACUGUUUCGGCUAGGGGGUCAUCCCGACUUACCAAACCGAUGCAAACUCCGAAUACCGAAGAAUGUUAUCACGGGAGACACACGGCGGGUGCUAACGUCCGUCGUGAAGAGGGAAACAACCCAGACCGCCAGCUAAGGUCCCAAAGUCAUGGUUAAGUGGGAAACGAUGUGGGAAGGCAUAGACAGCCAGGAUGUUGGCUUAGAAGCAGCCAUCAUUUAAAGAAAGCGUAAUAGCUCACUGGUCGAGUCGGCCUGCGCGGAAGAUGUAACGGGGCUAAACCAUGCACCGAAGCUGCGGCAGCGACGCUUAGGCGUUGUUGGGUAGGGGAGCGUUCUGUAAGCCGUUGAAGGUGACCUGUGAGGGUUGCUGGAGGUAUCAGAAGUGCGAAUGCUGACAUAAGUAACGAUAAUGCGGGUGAAAAACCCGCACGCCGGAAGACCAAGGGUUCCUGUCCAACGUUAAUCGGGGCAGGGUGAGUCGACCCCUAAGGCGAGGCUGAAAAGCGUAGUCGAUGGGAAACAGGUUAAUAUUCCUGUACUUGGUGUUACUGCGAAGGGGGGACGGAGAAGGCUAGGCUAGCCGGGCGACGGUUGUCCCGGUUUAAGCAUGUAGGCGGAGUGACUUGGUAAAUCCGGUUGCUUAUCA